rnacentral:ncRNA from 2 species
AUGUGAUGGAGAUGCGAUGGAAAGUUGGGAGAUUGGGGGAAGUUGUGUGUGAACUAAACGUGGAUUGGGGCCCUGUUUAGUUCACAUCAAUCUUCCUCCAAAUUCCCAACUUUUCAUCACAUCACAAUCACAU